GGUUUAGUUACCCAAGUUUGAG
rnacentral:misc_RNA from 1 species